UGUUGGGUGGUGAAAUUGGCAGACACACCUUCUUGUCUCGGUGGUGGGGAUUAUGGGAUAAACACAGUUUACGGGUUGACCACAAAUUAAUUUUGAACUGAGGCUAACUUCCCCUUGAAGGUUCGACUCCUUCCCCAACAGCCA
rnacentral:tRNA from 1 species